UACGUAGGUGGCAAGCGUUAUCCGGAAUUAUUGGGCGUAAAGCGCGCGCAGGUGGUUUCUUAAGUCUGAUGUGAAAGCCCACGGCUCAACCGUGGAGGGUCAUUGGAAACUGGGAGACUUGAGUGCAGAAGAGGAAAGUGGAAUUCCAUGUGUAGCGGUGAAAUGCGUAGAGAUAUGGAGGAACACCAGUGGCGAAGGCGACUUUCUGGUCUGUAACUGACACUGAGGCGCGAAAGCGUGGGGAGCAAACAGGA
rnacentral:rRNA from 1 species